GCCCCCGUUGUCUAAUGGUUAUGACGUCAGACUUCUAUCACAUCAGCUGGUAUCUGGAGGUUGCGGGUUCGAAUCCCGCCGGGGGUU